rnacentral:rRNA from 1 species
CAGCCCGCCUUCACAUUUGUGUAAUCAUCCCUCCGUAGGUGAACCUGCGGAGGGAUCAUUACACAAAUAUGAAGGCGGGCUGGAACCUCUCGGGGUUACAGCCUUGCUGAAUUAUUCACCCUUGUCUUUUGCGUACUUCUUGUUUCCUUGGUGGGUUCGCCCACCACUAGGACAAACAUAAACCUUUUGUAAUUGCAAUCAGCGUCAGUAACAAAUUAAUAAUUACAACUUUCAACAACGGAUCUCUUGGUUCUGGCAUCGAUGAAGAACGCAGCGAAAUGCGAUAAGUAGUGUGAAUUGCAGAAUUCAGUGAAUCAUCGAAUCUUUGAACGCACAUUGCGCCCUUUGGUAUUCCAAAGGGCAUGCCUGUUCGAGCGUCAUUUGUACCCUCAAGCUUUGCUUGGUGUUGGGCGUCUUGUCUCUAGCUUUGCUGGAGACUCGCCUUAAAGUAAUUGGCAGCCGGCCUACUGGUUUCGGAGCGCAGCACAAGUCGCACUCUCUAUCAGCAAAGGUCUAGCAUCCACUAAGCCUUUUUUUCAACUUUUGACCUCGGAUCAGGUAGGGAUACCCGCUGAACUUAAGCAUAU